rnacentral:lncRNA from 1 species
ACAGUAGGGAAGGUGCGGAGCAUGAUGGUGCUCUGUAGGAGCGCAGACGCUGAAAGGCGCGCUGCUGUGGCUGGGAGAAGAGCGGAGCCAGGAGUUUGUUCCCAAUAUCUUAGUGCUAUGGCAAAAGAAGGGGGAGGAGUAAUUGUGGGGCCCCCCACACACCCGCUGCGGCGAUACACUCACCCUCGCCAAAGUCCUUCCGGAAGUCUAAGUUCGAAGAUGGCGCCGCCUGUCUGGUCGCGGUCUUAUGACGAAAUCUUGUUAGCUGCUCUUCACUGACGCCCCCACCCCAGUGCACAAGGUAAACACGUGUGCUUGGUCCGGAGUCGGUGCCGGGCUAGUUUUCUCUUAGACUCUGUAUUCCAUAAUGCAGCGCGGCCAGAGUCACCGAGCCCUCCGAAGCCAGCCGAGUUCCAGGGCGUCUUCAGCGGCGCCAGGGACGCUGCAGGGCCUCAUGGGAGUUGCAGUGUCAAAAAGGGGAGAUCGACGCCUGCGCGGCCAACGGGAUCCCACGCGGCCUCGACGGGAGCCGGGAGUAGGCGGACUCCCAGGCCGGGCUCGCGCUCUGGAUCCCUGAAUCCGGCCUUUCCGGCCGGACUGCCGCGCCUGUGGCCGGAAGAGCCAGCUAGACCAGAGAGUCUGUACCUGCAACCCUGGCGGCGUCCGAGCCCAAGGCGGAGUCUGGGAGACAAAGAAGUCCUCGCCGCCGGCCGCUGGAGGAUUCUGCCAGUAGUGAAGUCAGGGAUGGGCCCGAGAGAGCUUGGAAAGAGGACAAGGAAGGGAAGGAGUAGGAGUAGAAAAGCAUGACUUUGGCUGGGUAUGGUAGCUCCUGUCUGUAAUCCCAGCACUUUGGGAGGCCAAGGCGGGGGAGGAUCACUUGAGCCCAGGAAUUCGAUACCAGCCUGGGCAACAUAGUGAGACCCCGUUUUUAUUUUUAUUUUUAUUUUUUCCUGAGAUGGAGUCUUGCUCUGUCCCCAGGCUGGAGUGCAGUGGCGCGAUCUCGGCUCACUGCAAACUCCGCCUCCCGGGUUCAAGCAAUUGUCCUGCCUCAGCCUCCCGAGUAGCUGAGAUUACAGGCGCCCGCCACCAAGCCCGGAUAAUUUUUGUCUUUUUAGUAGAGAAGGGGUUUCACUAUGUUGGCCAGGCUGGUCUCGAACUCCUGACCUUGUGAUACGCCUGCCUCAGCCUCCCAAAGUGCUGGGAUUACAGGCAUGAGCCACCGCGCCCGGCCUAAUUUUUUAAUUUUUUCUAGAGAUGGGGUCUCGUUAUGUUGACCAGGCUGGUCUUGAACACCUGACCUGAAGUGAUCCUCUUGCCUCAGCCUCCCAUAGUGCUGCGAUCACAGGUGUAAGUCACUGAGUUUGGCCAUUAUUCCAUUUCUGUACACAAAAACCUUUCUCAUUCUGUGCUAUAACUAGUUAGCAUUUAAUUGGGUGGAUGUGGUAUAACUAGUGCCUUGUUGAUAUUGAUGCAUAUUUACAUGGUUUUGCUGUUAUAAACAAUGGUCCCUUGCUAUUAUAAAUCACACUGCUAUAAGUAACCUUGCAUCUAAAUUACUUCAAAUGUGUAACUAUAUGGGUAGGAUAAUUUCUAGAAGUGGAAUUGUGAACCAAAGUUUUAGGUGCAUUUGUAAUUUUGAUUUAUAACCAAUCUUUUCACUGAUCUACUUCUCUGCCUCUAAUUUCUACUAGGUGUUUGUUUGUUUGUUUGUUUGUUUUGAGACAGGGUCUUGCUCUGUCACCCAGGCUGGAGGACAGUGGUGCAAUCACGGCUCACUGCAGCCUCAACCUGCCACCUCAGCCUCCUGAAUAGUUGGGGUGUGUGGCAGGUGUAUACCACCACUUCCAGGUUUUUUUGUUGUUGUUGUUUAAUAGAGAUGAGGUCUUGCUAUAUUGCCCAGGCAGGUCUCACACUACUGAGCGCAAGCGAUCCUCCUGCCUAUGCCUCCCAAAGUGCUGGGAUUACAGGUGUGAGUUGCCAUGCCUGGCCCGGUUAUCUUUCUAAAGCAUAAAGCAACCCUGUUGAUCCUCUGCUUAAUUUUGAUGAUUAAGUAGUAUGUUCAAAAUAUAGAAAUCCAUGUAUUGAUAAUGAUCUUUUAAAAAAAGUAAAAGCCAAAAUAUCAGCUACUCAUCCUACACCAUUGAAAGUAGUGACCAUUAAACUGCUCUACCUCUACCUCCACCUCUCUACCUCUCUACCUCUCUACCUCUACCUCUACCCACGGUCUCCCUCUCUUUCCAUGGUCUCCCUCUCAUGUGGAGCCGAAGCUGGACUGUACUGCUGCCAUCUCGGCUCACUGCAACCUCCCUGCCUGAUUCUCCUGCCUCAGCCUGCCGAGUGCCUGCGAUUGCAGGCACGCGCUGCCACGCCUGACUGGUUUUGGUGGAGACGGGGUUUCGCUGUGUUGGCCGGGCCGGUCUCCAGCCCCUAACCGCGAGUGAUCCGCCAGCCUCGGCCUCCCGAGGUGCCGGGAUUGCAGACGGAGUCUCGUUCACUCAGUGCUCAAUGGUGCCCAGGCUGGAGUGCAGUGGCGUGAUCUCGGCUCGCUACAACCUACACCUCCCAGCCGCCUGCCUUGGCCUCCCAAAGUGCCGAGAUUGCAGCCUCUGCCCAGCCGCCACCCCGUCUGGGAAGUGAGGAGUGUCUCUGCCUGGCCGCCCAUCGUCUGGGAUGUGAGGAGCCCCUCUGCCUGGCUGCCCAGUCUGGAAAGUGAGGAGCGUCUCCGCCCGGCCGCCAUCCCAUCUAGGAAGUGAGGAGUGCCUCUUCCCAGCCGCCAUCACAUCUAGGAAGUGAGGAGCGUCUCUGCCCGGCCGCCCAUCGUCUGAGAUGUGGGGAGCGCCUCUGCCCCGCCGCCCCAUCUGGGAUGUGAGGAGCGCCUCUGCCCGGCCGCGACCCCGUCUGGGAGGUGAGGAGCGUCUCUGCCCGGCCGCCCCGUCUGAGAAGUGAGGAGCCACCCCAUCUGGGAAGUGAGGAGCAUCUCCGCCCGGCAGCCACCCCGUCCGGGAGGGAGGUGGGGGGUCAGCCCCCCGCCCGGCCAGCCGCCCCGUCCGGGAGGGAGGUGGGGGGGUCAGCCCCCUGCCCGGCCAGCCGCCCCGUCCGGGAGGUGAGGGGCGCCUCUGCCCGGCCGCCCCUACUGGGAAGUGAGGAGCCCCUCUGCCCGGCCACCACCCCGUCUGGGAGGUGUGCCCAACAGCUCAUUGAGAACGGGCCAGGAUGACAAUGGCGGCUUUGUGGAAUAGAAAGGCGGGAAAGGUGGGGAAAAGAUUGAGAAAUCGGAUGGUUGCCGUGUCUCUGUAGAAAGAAGUAGACAUGGGAGACUUUUCAUUUUGUUCUGCACUAAGAAAAAUUCUUCUGCCUUGGGAUCCUGUUGAUCUGUGACCUUACCCCCAACCCUGUGCUCUCUGAAACAUGUGCUGUGUCCACUCAGGGUUAAAUGGAUUAAGGGCGGUGCAAGAUGUGCUUUGUUAAACAGAUGCUUGAAGGCAGCAUGCUCGUUAAGAGUCAUCACCAAUCCCUAAUCUCAAGUAAUCAGGGACACAAACACUGCGGAAGGCCGCAGGGUCCUCUGCCUAGGAAAACCAGAGACCUUUGUUCACUUGUUUAUCUGCUGACCUUCCCUCCACUGUUGUCCCAUGACCCUGCCAAAUCCCCCUCUGUGAGAAACACCCAAGAAUUAGCAAUAAAAAAAUAAAUUAAAAAAUAAAAAAAUAAAAAAAUAAAAAAAACUCAUUAAGCUCUAAAAAAAAAAAAAAAAAAGAAAGAAAAAAAGAAAGUAGUGACCAAUUCCUGAAAAUUGGCAAAAAAAAAAAAAAGGCAAGAGUAAGGCAUUUAUCUUGUCUUUCCAGUAUGAACUCUAGUUCAAAAUAACUGAUGAGAGGAAGGUUUUGUUUGUUUUUUGAGACUGAGUCUCACUCUGUCGCCCAGGCUGGAGUGCAGUGGCGCGAUCUCGGCUCACUGCAACCUCUGCCUCCCAGGUUCAAGCAAUUCUUGUGCCUCAGCCUCCUGAGUAGCUGGGAUUACAGGCGCCCGCCACCACUCCCGGCUAAUUUUUGUAUUUUUUUAGUAGAGACGGGGUUUCACCAUGUUGGCGAGGCUGGUCUUGAACUCCUGACCUCAGGUGAUCCGCACACCUAAGCCUCCCAACGUGCUGGGAUUACGGGUGUGAGCCAUUGCCCAGCCCGGGAUUUUUUUUUUUUUUUAUAGAUUAACAGCUAGUAAUUGUGCAAAGAAUGAUAGAAAAAAAUCACUAUUUUGCAUGUCCCAGUGAAAUAAUUCAGGCAACAAUCACCAGUGGAUGAAAUCCCUAAAGAGCUUUUAGGAAGCUUUAAAAUGCCUGGACCCACUCAUCACUGAACAUGAAACCACCAGUCAUUGUUUGCCUCCUGAUGUGAGGCAAUAUAAAGCACACAGAACCACUUAUUAAACAUUCUUGCCCAAAAAAUUGAAUAGGAAUACAGGACUUAGGGGCCAGGCGUGGUGGCUCACACCUGUAAUCCCAGCACUUUGGGAGGCCAAGGAGGGCGGAUAAUCUGAGGUCAGGAGUUCAAGACCAGCCUGGCCAAUGUGGUGAAACCCUGUCUCUACUAAAAAUACAAAAGAAAAUUAGCUGGAUGUGGUGACGCACACCUGUAGUCCCAGCUACUCGGGAGGCUAAGGCAGGAGAAUCACUUGAACCUGGGAGGCAGAGGUUGCAGUGAGCUGAAAUCGUGCCAUUGCACUCCAGCCUGGGCAACAGAGCAAGACUCCAUCUCAAAUAAAAAAAAAAGAAAUACAGGACAUAGGGAAUGAGUGAAAUGACAACAUAAGAAAGCAAACAGUCAAAUCUAGAAUGCAGAACAUUUCAUAUGACAAUCAACAUGGCUUCUGUAAGCCAAUGUCAAUGUAAAAAGGGGAUAGGAGACUGCUCUUUUUUUUUUUUUUUUGUUUGUUUGUUUGUUUGUUUGUUUGAGACAGAGUCUCACUCUGUCGCCCAGGCUGGAGUGCAGUGGCAAGAUCUCUGCUCACUGCAAGGUCCACCUCCCGGGUUCACGCCAUUCUCCUGCCUCAGCCUCCCGAGUAGCUGGGACUACAGGCGCCCGCCACCACGCCUGGCUAAUUUUUUGUAUUUUUAGUAGAGAUGGGGUUCCACUGUGUUAGCCAGGAUGGUCUCCAUCUCCUGACCUCGUGAACUGCCCGCCUCGGCCUCCCAAAGUGCUGGGAUUAGGCGUGAGCCACCGCGCCCGGCUGAGGAGACUGCUUUUUAAAAAAUGUAACCAAAUGUAAUGUGUGGAUUUGUUUGGAUCUUGAGUCAAACUAAGUCAUUUUUCAGCCAAGGAAAUUUGAUUAUGGAUUGAAUACUAAGAAAGUAUGAUUUAAUAAGUGAUAUUAUGGUAAAUUUCCAUAUUUCUUAAGAGACAUUGAAGUUAAAGGAGUGAAAUGAUAUAAUGCUUGGAUUUGAUUUAAAGUAACUUCAUCAAGGAAAAACAAGAAGGCUGAGUGCUGUGGCUCACGCCUGUAAUCCCAACACCUUGGGACGCUGAGGCGGGCGGAUCACCUGAGGUCGGGAGUUCAAGACCAGCCUGACCAACAUGGAGAAACCCCCAUCUCUACUAAAAAUACAAAAUUAGCUGGGUAUGGUGGCACAUGCCCAUAAUCCCAGCUACUCGAGAGGCUGAGGCAGGGGAAUCGCUUGAAUCCAGGAGGCGGAGGUUGCAGUGAGCCAAGAUUGCACCAUUGCACUCCAGCCUGGGCAACAAGAGCGAAACUCUGUCUCAAAAAAAAAAAAAAAAAAAAGAAAAAAGAAAAACAACAAAAAGAGAAAGUAAAUGUGGCAAAUUUGAUAACUGUUGCAUCUGGUCAUGGAGAUUCUUUGUAUAGUUCUACUUUUACGCUGCUUAAAAAUGUUUGAUAAAACCAACAUGGCAUAUGUAUACCUAUGUAACAAACCUGCACAUUGCGCACAUGUACUGUAGAACUUAAAGUAUAAAAAAAAAAUUUGAUAAAAUGGUUGGGUGCAGUGGCUCACGCCUGUAAUCCCAGCACUUUGGGAGGCCAAGGCAGGUGGAUUGCUUGAGGUCAAGAGUUCAAGACCAGCCUGACCCACAUGGUGAAACCCCGUCUCUACUAAAAAUACAAAAAUUAGCUAAGUGUGGUGGCAGGCACCUGUGAUCCCAGCUACUUGGGAGGCUGAGGCAGGAGAAUUGCUUGAACCCAGAAGGCAGAGGUUGCAGUGAGCCGAGAUAGUGCCAUUGCACUCCAGCCUGGGAGACGAGUGACUCUUUCUCAAAAAAAAAAAAAUUCAAUAACACACAUAUAUACCCAAUAGAUAACUCUUCAUUUUAAGCUAACCAGUGGUUGGACUCACAGUCUGGCCCCAACUUACCUUUGCAGUUUGAUCACUCAACAAUAAGACUCAGUUCUAGCCUCACUAUACUAUGUGACACUUUUACAUUGGCCACUCACUUUAAGGCCUAUUCUUUGUGUUCAAGCUGUUUCUUCUUUUUUUUUCUUCCCUAACUGGGCAAUUACUUAUCUUUCAAGGACUAGGUUAGAUGUGACUUGUAAGUUUUCACCAAUCUUUUGUUCAUACUACUACUGGGUUACCUCAUACUGUAGAUACUAUCUUCUUAUGCCAUGGUAAGCGUUCCUUAAGGGAAUAUAGCACAAAAGUUAAGGGCACAGUUUCUAGAUCCAGACUGCCUGAGGUCACAUCCUGGUUUAGCUACUGACUAGCUGUGUUACCUAGGGCAAGUAACUUCAUCUCUCUGUCUGCCUUGGGUAAGUAACUUAACCUUUCUGUGUCUGAGCUGUGUUGCCUUGGGCAAGCAACUUAACCUUUCUAUGCUUCCAUUAUCUCAUCUGUAAAAUCGCAUUUACUUCAUAGAGUUGUAUUAUUAUUUUUAUUUUUAGAGAUGGAGCCUCGCUUUGUUGCCCAGGCUGGAGUGCAAUGGUGCCAUCUCAGCUCACUGCAAUCUCCAUCUCCUGGGUUCAAGCGAUUCUUCUGCCUCAGCCUCUGGAGUAGCUGGGAUUACAGGCAUGCGCCACCACGCCCAGCUAAUUUUUGUAUUUAGUGUAGAGACAGGGUUUCAUCAUGUUGGCCAGGCUGGUCUUGAACUCUUGACCUGAGGUGAUCUGCCUGCCUCGGCCUCCCAAAUGAGCCACUGCGCCCAGCCUUCAUAGAGUUGUAUUAAUCUUCCUAAAUGGGUAAGAAAGGGUUCAGAACAGUUUCUGACACACAGUUAAAUAUUCAACAAAUGCUAAUUUAUAAGGUUAGGACUCUCUUUUUGAGACAGGGUCUCACUCUGUCACCCAGGCUGGAGUGCAGCGGCACAAUCAUGGCUUACUGCAGCCUCUACCUCCUGGACUCAAGCAAUCCUCUGGCUUCAGCCUCCUGAGUAGCUGGAACAACAGAUGAGCACAACCAUGCCCAGCUAAUUUUUAUUUUUUGUAGAGACCGGAUUGCCAUGUUGCCCAGGCUGGUCUCAAACCUCUGGGCUCAAACAAUCCUCCUGCCUUAGCCUCCCAAAAUGCUGAGAUUACAGGAAUGAGUCACUGCACUCAGCCCAGGACUAUUUGUUUUCAUAUUCCUCCUCACACCCAGUUUAGUGUCUGGCAUGUAGAUGCUCAGUGAAUGAUUGAUUUGGGUAGUUUUGGUUCUUUAUACGGGUCUUCAGGUUAGUCCCAAUGUACUGGCAUGGAGCUAGUUACUUGAGCAGGUCUUCACAAAGGUCUGAGUAGCAGGUGAUAAAAGGGGUUGUGAAGUCUGGACUCCUAACUUAAGUGGUGGAGAUGCUAAAAGAGAAACAAAGGCAGCAGAGUUGCUGAGGGUAGGGAGUAUGGCAUUUAUUAACCCUGUGUUUCCCCCGUCACUGGUCACUGCUCUUGACUCGUAGAACAACAGGUACAGAACUGCAAGGGAUCAUCCCCAGCUCCGUGAUCACCAGAUCCACAAGCUCUGGGGGAGUCACAUCAUAGACUAGAUUCAACAACCGUAGGGAUGCGUGGUUCUGCCAGUUAGCCAGCGCAACAUGUUCUCCCCGCUUACAUUGCAGAUCAUCAGGGUCAUCUGCAAUGGAAGGCGUACCCAUUAUGUUCUUUCAGAAAAGAAGUUCUAGUUUAUCCGCCCCUCUCCCUCCCUCUCAAGUCUUCACAGGUAGCUGGAGGCUUCUCUUUUGCCUCCUUACCUAGCUCAUUAGAGACAAAGGCAUCAGUCUGCACACGCUCACAGAACUUGUAUGUUUCACAGCAAACCAGCACUGGUACAUUAUGGGCUCGAGCCACCAGGGCUAACUGUGCUGUCCCUACCCGUGACAUCACAGACCCGUUGGCCAAGAGUGCAUGAGCUCCCAAUAGCACCUUGGAAACCUGUUUCACAGGAGAAGAGGAAGAAAAAAAUGUCAUUGUUGUAUCAAUGCAAAAUAAGGUCCCCUACUUACAGGACAGCAACAUUAAGACAAGUAAUAAAUCUCAACACCUGUGAAAAGAAGGGAAAGAAACAAAAACAGACAACAAGUAAUAAAUCUUUUUUUUUUUUUUCUUUGAGAUGAAGUUCUGCUCUUGUUGCCCAGGCUGGAGUGCAAUGGCGCGAUCUCGGCUCACCACAACCUCUGCCUCCUGGGUUCAAGUGAUUCUCCUGCCUCAGCCUCCCGAGUAGCUGGGAUUACAGGCAUGCACCACCACUCCCAGCUGAUUUGUUGUAUUUUUAUAUUUUUAGUAGAGACGGGGUUUCUCCACGUUGGUCAGGCUGGUCUCGAACUCCCAACCUCAGGUGAUCUGCCCGCCUCAGCCACCCAAAGUGCCAGGAUAACAGGCGUGAGCCACUGAGUCCGGCAAUUAAUAAAUCCUUUUUUUUUUUUUUUUUGAGAUGGAGUCUCGCUCUGUCGCCCAGGCUGGAGUGCAGUGGCAUGAUCUCGGCUCACUGCAAGCUCUGCCUCCUGGGUUCACGCCAUUCUCCUGACUCAGCCUCCAGAUUAGCUGGGACUACAGGCGCCCACCACCACGCCCGGCUAAUUUUUUGUAUUUUUAGUAGAGACGGGGUUUCACUGUGUUAGCCAGGAUGAUUGUGAACUCCUGACCUCGUGAACUGCCCUCCUCGGCCUCCCAAAGUGCUGGAAUUACAGGCUUGAGCCACUGUGCCCGGCCUAAUAAAUCUUAAUGAUGGCUUUUCUUCUGUGAAAACACCUGACCACUGACCCACCAAAUCUCCCACAGGAAAAGUAAACUUUGAAGUUACUUUUGUCUUGUUCCCUCUUCCUGGUUGCUAGUUUAAUGUAAUGUUUUUGCAAUAGCUAGACUGCUGUAAUAUACUGUCAGUGUUUUUCCAAUUAAAUAGAAACAGAGCUAUAUAAUUAUUUUUUUUGACACAGGGUUUCAUUCUGUCACCCAGGCUGGAGUGCAGUGGUGCAAUGACAGCUCACUGUAGCCUCAACCUCCUGGGCUCAAGCAGUCCUCUCACCUCAGCCUCCUAAGUAGCUGGAACUACAUGCGCAUGCCACCAUGCCCGGGUGUGUGUGUGUGUGUGUGUGUUCAAGCAGUCCUCUCACCUCAGCCUCCUAAGUAGCUGUGUGUGUGUGUGUGUGUGUGCGUGCGCGCGCGCACGCACUCAAGCAGUCCUCUCACCUCAGCCUAAGUAGCUGGAACUACAUGCGCAUGCCACCAUGCCCGGGGUGGGGGUGGGGUGGGGUGUGUGUGUGUGUGUGUGUGUGUGUGUGUGUGUGUGUGUGUGUGUACAGGGUCUCAUUAUGUUGAGCAGGCUGGUCUUGAACUCCUGGGCUCAAGUGAUCCUCCUGCCUUAGUGCUGAGAUUGCAGGCAUUGAGCCAUGGCACCAAGCCAGGGCUAUAUAAUUCUAAUAUUUUUAAAUAAUUGUGGCUGGGCACAGUGGCUCAUGCCUAUGAUCCCAGUACUUUGGGAGGCCGAGACAGGGGGAACUGCUUGAGCCCAGGAGUUCCAGCCUGGGCAAUGUAGCGAUAUCCCAUCUCUACAAGAAAAAUAAAAAACUAGCUGGGCAUGGUGGCACACACCAGUAGUCCCAGCUACUCAGAGGCGGAGGUGG